UAUGUGCCUGAUGCGAUACAUGAAAAGACUAUACUUAGAACGCAUUGUCUUGGACCUACUAAAAAAAAAAUACAAAUGCUUGUCAUUAGCGAUGUUUCAAUAUAACGAGUUUCUCGAAGCAUAAGCAUUUUUUGUUUUUUUUUUUUCAAACGCGCACUUAUAUUUCACCAUGAGUUUUUUCUUCGACCGACUCAAAUACGCGUUUGCCGUAAAACUCAAGCCACAAAAACAUUUACAUGCAAGUGUGAAAUAAAAAAAAAAAAAGCGAAUAAAGUUUAAAAGCUCAAUAAGUAUAAAGGGAGAUUUUAGAUUCUGAGUGGAGCGAAGAAGCUUA